rnacentral:lncRNA from 1 species
ACAAUUUGAUUUUCUGUGAAGACCAAUCCUUGCUAUUAUGGAAAAUAUGUCAAAAAUGUUAAUGAAGUUAAUAGCGUUAGUUUUAAUCAUUGCAGGUGCUAUGGUUGUUAAUGCAGAUUUACCACCAUGUUGUGAUUUUGGUGGUUCAAUGUGCGAACCAGUUGCAUGUAGUACGUGGCCAUGUUGCCGUCACCCUCCGUCUAGAGAUAUAAAGUCUUAAAACAAUUUCUAUCUCUUCUAUUUUAGCACCAAUCAUUUUGUAAUAAAUGAAGUCUAUAUCAUGUAAUAAUUGCAUCAAUAAGAUUGGUUAAUAAAGUAUCAUUUAUUCUUCUCUGUUCA